rnacentral:rRNA from 1 species
GAGUGAAGCGGCAAAAGCUCAAAUUUGAAAUCUGGCACCUUCGGUGUCCGAGUUGUAAUUUGAAGAAGGUAACUUUGGAGUUGGCUCUUGUCUAUGUUCCUUGGAACAGGACGUCACAGAGGGUGAGAAUCCCGUGCGAUGAGAUGCCCAAUUCUAUGUAAAGUGCUUUCGAAGAGUCGAGUUGUUUGGGAAUGCAGCUCUAAGUGGGUGGUAAAUUCCAUCUAAAGCUAAAUAUUGGCGAGAGACCGAUAGCGAACAAGUACAGUGAUGGAAAGAUGAAAAGAACUUUGAAAAGAGAGUGAAAAAGUACGUGAAAUUGUUGAAAGGGAAGGGCUUGAGAUCAGACUUGGUAUUUUGCGAUCCUUUCCUUCUUGGUUGGGUUCCUCGCAGCUUACUGGGCCAGCAUCGGUUUGGAUGGUAGGAUAAUGACUAAGGAAUGUGGCUCUACUUCGGUGGAGUGUUAUAGCCUUGGUUGAUACUGCCUGUCUAGACCGAGGACUGCGUC